rnacentral:lncRNA from 10 species
CACUGCUGGAUUUGAGUUGGAUUUGUUUGUUUAAGAAAGUCUUUCUUUUUCCUUUUUGAAGGAGAAGUUCACUGGGUAUGGAAAUCUCAAUGGGUGGUUUUUGUUUUUCAACAUCAGCUCUGCUAUUCCAUUCCUCAACAAUUAGAGGGGACCCAGGAGGGCAUUUCAGGUUGUUUAAAAUCCACCAAAGGCUGUGUCAAUCCACCUUGGGCCGAACCCCACCAGAGAGACACUGAGAGGUUGCAGGAGAGGUGCCUCUGGCCCACCACGCCUGGAAGUCCAGACCACUCCAGCUCCUAAGGAGCUGGCCUGAAGAACUUCUUGGGAAUAAAGACUCCAAAGAGAAGCUGAGUGUUGCUUUGGGACUGCCUGGCUGGAACUUCCCUGUUUUACUUUGAUGUGAACAAACAAUUUCACAUGCGUUUAUAAACUGUGGGAAGUCUCUCUCUAACCUGUGUAGGAAGAUUUCUGGUUCCAACAAGGAUGAUGCCCUCUUCUCUCAAAUUAAUCCUGGAGAAAAGAAAAAAAAUUAACAGAAGUGAAACAUGAAUUCUAACAAUGAAUAAAACCAACCAACAGACUGUGGGAACACCCUGAGGGUACAGAAGACUAUUUGCACUUGCGUGUGUCAGUUUCAGCCAGGGGAAGAAGGUGGCCCAAGGUGGCAGUGGAGCUUUCUGGAUUCUGCUCUUGUCCUUCUCUGGCUUUACUUCAAGACAGCCAUCACUCGCCUCUUCACUGCAGAGGGGCUCUGCCUUGGUGAGGGUCAGAACAUGGAAGCCUUGGUGAGACUGGUGCUUUUUGUGGACCAGUGUCAGAUGACUGACAUAUUUGUUUCCAUUCUGUGAUUGAGGAACAGCUUCAGCAGAAGACAACGUGACUGGCUUAUAUGAAGCCACUGGGGACUAGACUGGCCUGUAGACAGUCUAAACGAAGGCAUCACUGCCAGGAUUUUGUCCUCUGGGAACAGACGAUGCUGCUGUGUUUGCCAAAGGAAGACAGCUCCAAGUGUCUCUGUUUUCAGGCUUCCCUCAGUUUUCAAAUAAGUAUAAUUUUCAAACCUGCGUUGCAUUCCAAAGAACUUUUUUUUUCAGGAAUGCUUUUGUACUUAACACCUCUGUGAACUCUGUGACCAUACACCCUCAUCUGGAAGGUCUAUUUAGAGGUGGCUGAGUAGCCUGCCAAAUUCAGCCUCUGAACCCUAUCAUUUCUGUAUUAUAAAUGCUUUCCCCCACCCCAUCCCCCGACAGCUGGAAUUAAAUGUUCAGAGGCAUUUGGAUUAGAUUUGAAUUGCUUGGUCAAAUCUCAGUCACCUCUUCACAGACAGACAGAAUUUCUAACCUGGGAAAAGGUAUUAGUUUGAGCUCAGAGAAUCAACUAAAGAGAGAUCCUUUAAGCACAAUAUUCCCAGUUAGAAUAAGGUUCAGCUAGCUGUCUUGAGGAACGCAUGAGCUCAUCAUAGUGUUGCCUAACAAAGGCUGUUAUUUAGAGUGCUCUCGG